AGGAUAUUGAGAUGGAUCCGCGAAGAGGAAGAGAGGAUAGCAGCCAACAAAGAAACUGCAAUCAAAUGUGUAAUUAUCGACAUGACAGCUGUAUCAACCAUAGAUUCAAGUUGAAUCGACACUAUAUGUGAACUAAGAAGGACGCUGGAUAAACGAUCUCUUAAGCUUAUGCUGGCAAAUCCAGGUGGGAAUGUUAUGGAAAAGUUGCAUGAAUCUAGUGCUCUUGAGGGCUUCGGAUUAAAUGGAAUAUAUCUAACUGUUUCUGAAGCAGUGGCUGAUAUCUCAUCUUUGUGGAAGAAUGAACCUGAAUUGUCAGUAUAAGAUUUGCAUUGUCAAGAAAAAAAUUGAAGUGGCAUGUGAUGUAAGUAUGAUGUGUCACUAGUUUGAUAGGAAAAAGGCAAUACUCCCCCGUCCCUUUCAUCCCAGUAAGCAUUCCAACAGCCACAAGAAUCUUGUAGUGCAAAGACUCAGGAUUUCAGUUUGGAUUAUUCGGUAUUCGGUAUUUACCGAAUUACCGAACAGUAUAAUGGUAAAUACCGAAUACCGAAACCGAAAUAUUAAAUUUUACAUUUUAGUCCCGAAUACCGAACCGAAAACCGAAUUCCCGAAUACCGAAAUACCGAAAUAGCCGGUUCGGUUCGGUAAUUCGGUUUUCGGUAUU